UACGAAGGGGGCGAGCGUUGUUCGGAAUUACUGGGCGUAAAGGGCGCGUAGGCGGCCGAUCAAGUCAGAUGUGAAAGUCCUGGGCUUAACCUGGGGACUGCAUUUGGUACCGAUUGGCUUGAAUGCAGGAGAGGAUAGCGGAAUUCCCAGUGUAGAGGUGAAAUUCGUAGAUAUUGGGAAGAACACCGGUGGCGAAGGCGGCUAUCUGGACUGUGAUUGACGCUGAGGCGCGAAAGCGUGGGGAGCAAACAGG
rnacentral:rRNA from 1 species